rnacentral:rRNA from 1 species
GACGAACGCUGGCGGCGUGCCUAAUACAUGCAAGUCGAACGCAGUGGGGACGGGUGAGUAACACGUGGGCAACCUCCCAUCAGAGGGGAUAACACUUGGAAACAGGUGCUAAACCGAUACUGAUGGAUGGACCCGCGGUGCAUUAGCUAGUUGGUGAGGUAACGGCUCACCAAGGCCACGAUGCAUAGGCGAGCUGGGAGGGUGAUCGGCCACACUGGGAAUGAGACACGGCCCAGACUCCGAAGGGGGGGAGCAGUAGGGAAUCUUCGGCAAUGGGCGAAAGUCUGACCAAGCAACGCCGCGUGAGUGAAGAAGGUUUUCGGAUCGUAAAGCUCUGUUGUUAGAGGAGCGGUAACUAACCAGAAAGGGACGGCUAACUCCGUGCCAGCAGCCGCGGUAAUUC